rnacentral:tRNA from 1 species
GUGGGUGUAGUUCAGUUGGUUAGAGCGUCAGAUUGUGGUUCUGAAUGUCGUGGGUUCGAGCCCCACCACCCACCCGA